rnacentral:rRNA from 1 species
CGCAGCCGCGGUAAUUCCAGCUCCAAUAGCGUAUAUUAAAGUUGUUGCAGUUAAAAAGCUCGUAGUUGAAUUUCGGGGUCAGCAGGUUGGUCGUGCCACUGGUAUGUACUGGCUUUGCUGAUUCCUCCUUCUUGUAGAACCGUAAUGCCAUUAAUUUGGUGUUGCGGGGAAACAGGACUGUUACUUUGAAAAAAUUAGAGUGUUUAAAGCAGGCUAACGCUUGAAUACAUUAGCAUGGAAUAAUGAAAUAGGACGAGCGAUCCUAUUUUGUUGGUUUCUAGGAUUGACGUAAUGAUUAAUAGGGAUAUUUGGGGGCAUUAGUAUUCAAUUGUCAGAGGUGAAAUUCUUGGAUUUAUUGAAGACUAACUACUGCGAAAGCAUUUGCCAAGGAUGUUUUCAUUAAUCAAGAACGAAAGUUAGGGGAUCGAAGACGAUCAGAUACCGUCGUAGUCUUAACCAUAAACUAUGCCGACUAGGGAUCGGAUGAUGUUAAUUUUAUAAUGACUCAUUCGGCGCCUUA